AUUGAACGCUGGCGGCAUGCCUUACGCAUGCAAGUCGAACGGCAGCACGGGUGCUUGCACCUGGUGGCGAGUGGCGAACGGGUGAGUAAUACAUCGGAACAUGUCCUGUAGUGGGGGAUAGCCCGGCGAAAGCCGGAUUAAUACCGCAUACGAUCUACGGAUGAAAGCGGGGGACCUUCGGGCCUCGCGCUAUAGGGUUGGCCGAUGGCUGAUUAGCUAGUUGGUGGGGUAAAGGCCUACCAAGGCGACGAUCAGUAGAUGGUCUGAGAGGACGACCAGCCACACUGGGACUGAGACACGGCCCAGACUCCUACGGGAGGCAGCAGUGGGGAAUUUUGGACAAUGGGCGAAAGCCUGAUCCAGCAAUGCCGCGUGUGUGAAGAAGGCCUUCGGGUUGUAAAGCACUUUUGUCCGGAAAGAAAUCCUUGGCUCUAAUACAGUCGGGGGAUGACGGUACCGGAAGAAUAAGCACCGGCUAACUACGUG
rnacentral:rRNA from 1 species